rnacentral:rRNA from 1 species
GACGAACGCUGGCGGCGUGCCUAAUACAUGCAAGUAGAACGCUGAAGGAGGAGCCUGCUUCUCCGGAUGAGUUGCGAACGGGUGAGUAACGCGUAGGUAACCUGCCUGGUAGCGGGGGAUAACUAUUGGAAACGAUAGCUAAUACCGCAUAAGAGUAGAUGUUGCAUGACAUUUGCUUAAAAGGUGCAAUUGCAUCACUACCAGAUGGACCUGCGUUGUAUUAGCUAGUUGGUGGGGUAACGGCUCACCAAGGCGACGAUACAUAGCCGACCUGAGAGGGUGAUCGGCCACACUGGGACUGAGACACGGCCCAGACUCCUACGGGAGGCAGCAGUAGGGAAUCUUCGGCAAUGGACGGAAGUCUGACCGAGCAACGCCGCGUGAGUGAAGAAGGUUUUCGGAUCGUAAAGCUCUGUUGUAAGAGAAGAACGAGUGUGAGAGUGGAAAGUUCACACUGUGACGGUAUCUUACCAGAAAGGGACGGCUAACUACGUGCCAGCAGCCGCGGUAAUACGUAGGUCCCGAGCGUUGUCCGGAUUUAUUGGGCGUAAAGCGAGCGCAGGCGGUUAGAUAAGUCUGAAGUUAAAGGCUGUGGCUUAACCAUAGUACGCUUUGGAAACUGUUUAACUUGAGUGCAAGAGGGGAGAGUGGAAUUCCAUGUGUAGCGGUGAAAUGCGUAGAUAUAUGGAGGAACACCGGUGGCGAAAGCGGCUCUCUGGCUUGUAACUGACGCUGAGGCUCGAAAGCGUGGGGAGCAAACAGG